CAUUGACUAAAGCUCCGGCGCUCUGGGAGGGGCCUGCGUCCCAUCAGCUAGUUGGUGAGGUAAUGGCUCACCAAGGCAAAGACGGGUAGGGGGCGUGAGAGCGUGGGCCCCCACACUGGUACUGACACACGGACCAGAUACCUACGGGUAGCAGCAGCAAGGAAUAUUGGCGCAAUGGACGAAAGUCUGACGCAGCAACGCCGCGUGGAGGAAGAAGGCCUUCGGUUGUAAACUCCUUUUCUGGGGGAAGAGAAAGGACGGUACCCCAGGAAUAAGGCCCGGCUAACUACGUGCCAGCAGCCGCGGUAAAACGUAGGGGUCAAGCGUUAUCCGGAUUUACUGGGCGUAAAGCGCGUGUAGGCGGCUGCUUAAGUCGGACGUGAAAGCUCCUGGCUCAACUAGGAGAGGCCGUUCGAAACUAGGUAGCUUGAGGAUGGUAGAGGAGAGUGGAAUUCCCGGGUGUUAGUGGGUGAAAAUGCGUAGAUAUUCGGGAAGGAACACCCAGUUGGCGAAGGGCGGCUCUCUGGGCCCAGCCCUGACGCUCAGGAUGCGAAAAGGCUAGGGGGAGGAGAAACGGGAUUAGAAACCCCGGGUAUUUCCUAGCUGUAAAACGAUGUCAACUAGGCGUAGGGAGGGUUAUUGACCCCUUCUGUGCUGUAGCUAACGCGUUUAAGUUGGACCGCCUGGGGACUACGGCCGCAAGGCUAAAAACUCAAAGGAAUUGACGGGGGGCCCGCACAAGCAGCGGAGCGUGUG
rnacentral:rRNA from 1 species